CAUUGACCUCAAAUCGGGUGAGACUACCCGCUGAACUUAAGCAUAUCAAUAAGCGGAGGAAAAGAAACUAACAAGGAUUCCCCUAGUAACUGCGAGUGAAGCGGGAAAAGCUCAAAUUUAAAAUCUGGUGGUCUUUGGCCAUCCGAGUUGUAAUUUAGAGAA
rnacentral:rRNA from 1 species